rnacentral:rRNA from 1 species
CGUAGGUGGCAAGCGUUGUCCGGAAUUAUUGGGCGUAAAGCGCGCGCAGGCGGCUAAGUAAGUCUGAUGUGAAAGCCCGGGGCUCAACCCCGGUGUGCAUUGGAAACUGCGUAGCUUGAGUGCAGAAGAGGAAAGCGGUAUUCCACGUGUAGCGGUGAAAUGCGUAGAGAUGUGGAGGAACACCAGUGGCGAAGGCGGCUUUCUGGUCUGUAACUGACGCUGAGGCGCGAAAGCGUGGGAGCAAACAGGAUU